rnacentral:lncRNA from 10 species
GGGCUUCCCUAUCAACAAGGGAGACAGAGAAGUUAAUUUAUUUCUUUGGAAAAUAAGAGAUAUGAUAUGAUCUAUAUCAAUACAGUAAUUAAUUCACCUGCAACAUGAUCGGCGAUGAAUCCUGGACUCGAAUCUUAAGAACCUAAGAAGAUGUGUGCUGGGGCAGACUGAAUCGUGGAAUUGCUUGCCCAGUUGGACUUCGGAUUUAUGACAGUGCUUUUUGGACUUUAAUGUAGAUAUAAAUCACCUGGGGAUCUGUUUAAAAUGUAGUUUCCUGGCCCAGCAGGGCUGUGAAGGGGCCUGAG